rnacentral:rRNA from 1 species
CAAUAGCGUAUAUUUAAGUUGUUGCAGUUAAAAAGCUCGUAGUUGGAUUUCGGAUGGGAUUUGCCGGUCCGUCGUUACGAUGUGCACUGGCCAGUCCUAUCUUGUUGUCGGGGACUAGCUCCUUGGAUUCACUUCCUGGGACUAGGAGCUGACGAGGUUACUUUGAGUAAAUUAGAGUGUUCAAAGCAAGCCUACGCUCUGAAUACAUUAGCAUGGAAUAAAACGAUAGGACUCUGGCUUAUCUUGUUGGUCUGUGAGACCAGAGUAAUGAUUAAGAGGGACAGUCGGGGACAUUCGUAUUUCAUUGUCAGAGGUGAAAUUCUUGGAUUUAUGAAAGACGAACUUCUGCGAAAGCAUUUGUCAAGGAUGUUUUCAUUA